rnacentral:rRNA from 1 species
GGGUAACCUGCCCUAUGCUGGAUAAUAACCUCGGGAAACUGAGAAUAAUGAUCCAUAGUCCACUACGCCUGGAACGGUGAGUGGAUGAAAGCUCCGGCGGCAUAGGAUGGGCCUGCGGCGUAUCAGGUUGUAGGGGGUGUAACGUACCCUCUAGCCCUCUACGCGUACGGGUGUUGGGAGACAUAGCCCGGAGAUGGAUUCUGAGACACGAAUCCAGACCCUACGGGGUGCAGCAGGCGCGAAAACUUGGCAAUGCGAGAAAUCGUGACCAGGGAACUCCAAGUGCAUCGGGUAAGACCGGUGCUUUUCUUGACUCUAAAUAGGUCUUGGAAUAAGGGGUGGGUAAGGACGGUGCCAGCCGCCGCGGUAAUACCGGCGCCUCAAGUGGUAGUCGCUUUUAUUGGGCCUAAAACGUCCGUAGCCGGUCUGAUACAUUCGUGGGUAAAUCAACCAGCUCAACUGGUUGAAUUCUGCGAGGACGGUCAGACUUGGGACCGGGAGAGGUGUGGGGUACGCUCAGGGUAGGGGUAAAAUCCUGUCAUCCUGAGCGGACCACCUGUUGCGAAGGCGCCACACUAGAACGGAUCCGACGGUCAGGGACGAAGCCUAGGGGCACGAACCGGAUUAGAUACCCGGGUAGUCCUAGGUGUAAACGCUGUGGACUUGAUGUUGGGGGUGCUCCGAGCACUCUCAGUGUCGAAGCGAAGGUGAUAAGUCCACUGCCUGGGAAGUACGGUCGCAAGGCUGAAACUU